rnacentral:lncRNA from 1 species
CGAGCUCCAACCAUUUCGGCCUGUUGGUUGAGCUUGGACACGGGCCAAUGCUAGGUCGAGGCACGGACGGGGACUCUUCUGCAGGUGGGUUGCGAGCUUUGUUGGGGGUGGGCUCACACCAACCCAAGCAUGCCCGACCCUAAGACUUUGAUGUGGGUCAGGCACCUAUUGGCCCAAUUUGCAAGAAUUGGGUCUCGAGGGGCCCAGAAAAGGCUCUUCGAGGAAGAACAAGGCCAAAGAUAAAGCCUUGGCCUCCUUAAAGGCCC